UAUAAUAACUAUGAUGUUUAUAAAUUGUUUGGCAAUGUUUUUUUUUAUUUUAUUUUUUUUUUUUUUCUUCAAAUUUUUUAAGUUUAUUUUGCUUUUCUAAUCCCUUUAUUGUAAUACUACUAUAUCAUAUGUUUCAAUAUUAUUUAUAAAUUAUACUCUUUUUUCUUUAGUGUUUUUGUUUAGUGUUUUUUUUUGGCGUUUUUUUUUUUGGUGUUUUUUUUUGGCGUUUUUUUUUUUUGGUGUUUUUUUUUUAAUGUUUUUUUGUAGUGUUUUUUUGUAGUGUUUUUUUGUAGUGUUUUUUUUUUUUAGGGAUUUUUGUAAUACACUAUAAGCGGUAAUAUACUCGCAUUUUUAUUUUUUUUUUUUUUUUCUUUUGUAAGUAGUAAUUUUUUUUUUGAGUGCUUUAUUAUAAAAAAUAUUAACACAAAAAGGAAAUAAAAUUAUAAAUAACUAAAAACGAUGGACGAAAUGAAUGAUCCGCAAUAUGCGUUAAAUAUAAGCACAACAUUGAAUAAUAAUAAUAAUCAAAACAAAAAUUCGAAUAAAAACAAUAAUUAUAUUAUGGAUACAACGACAGAAAAAGAGAUGACAAUUUUAAAUAAUUCUAAUAGUAUAUUAAAUAUGGGAAUGAACAACAAUCAUAAUGAAUCAAGUUAUAAUAAUAACAAUUUAGAAGACAUUGAUAUAUUAUGUAAAUAUAAAAACGACAUAAAAAAUGAUGAUAAAAAAGAAUCGACUUUUAUAAACAUACCAAAUGCAACCCAUUUAAACAAAAUUGAAACUUGUUUAGAAUUGAACGAUGUUGAAAUCGAUAAUAUUGAAGUGAAAUAUGCUUCAAUUAAAAACAAAUUAUACAAAGCAUUAUUUGUUCGGAUAAUAUACGUUUUAAUAUAUGGUAUAUUUUGUGUAACAUUGCAAUGUUAUUUUAUAAUAUUAAGUGAUACUUAUUAUAAAACUGGGGAAACUCCAUUAAAAGAUAGGGUUCAUGAAAUAUUUUCUGAAAAACCUUCUUUUAUGACUACACCAUUCGUUAAUAAUCAGAUAAUUUUUUUUUUAAUUAUCACCUUGUUAAGGUUUGGUUUAUUUGUCCCAUUUUCACUGGGAAUAACUAUAUAUAUAAGAAUUAUAGUUAUGUUUUCAACAACCUAUUUACUAAGAACAAUAUUUAUUUACUCAACUACAAUUCCGUGUCCCGUUCCUACGUGUGUACCUUUAGAAAAUAAAUGUAUAUUACAUAACCUUUACUCGAUAUAUCUUAUAAUUACAGCAAAAGUAUAUGAAUGUACAGAUUUAAUUAUAUCAGGACAUACUGCUUUUACAACUAUAUUACAACUUAUGUGGUUUUUUUAUGAAAAACGGAUUUACUUAAAAAUACGGCCGUUAAGCGAUACGCAUUGA
rnacentral:lncRNA from 1 species